GCAGGGAUUUCAGGGCCCUGUGGAUGUGGCACUUGGGGACAUGGAUCAGUGGUGGCCUUGGCUGUGUUGGGGCAUGGUUGGACUCGAUGAUCUCUGAGGGCUUUUCC